rnacentral:rRNA from 1 species
AUUGAACGCUGGCGGCAUGCCUAACACAUGCAAGUCGAGCGAGCGGCGGACGGGUGAGUAAUGUAUGGGGACUGCCCGAUAGAGGGGGAUAACUACUGGAAACGGUGGCUAAUACCGCAUACUAUCGGAUAACCCAUAUGGGAUUAGCUAGUAGGUGGGGUAAAGGCUCACCUAGGCGACGAUCUCUAGCAGGUCUGAGAGGAUGAUCGGCCACACUGGGACUGAGACACGGCCCAGACUCCUACGGAGGCAGCAGUGGGGAAUAUUGGACAAUGGGCGCAAGCCUGAUGCAGCCAUGCCGCGUGUAUGAAGAAGGCCUUAGGGUUGUAAAGUACUUUCGGCAGGGAAGCGGUACCUGAAGAAGAAGCACCGGCUAACUACGUGCCAGCAGCCGCGGUAAUUC